AACAUGAUGCUCGUAUAUUAUCAAAAUAGACAUAUCAUACGUCCUUUCUGGAAACUAUGGUGGCUGUGGAGCAGGUGCAGGUGCACCUACAUGCUUAUUCUCGAUAUCCAUCACCUCUCGAGCUUCCCGUCCUACACCUCCAUGGGGAAUAUUCAGACCGCCACAUCCUCAACGUCACACCACAAACAAAAAAACACAAAAUUUAAUAAAUUAAAAAAAACAAAACCGAAUGUCUAUCACCAAAGACAUUUGGUGGCUAAAC
rnacentral:lncRNA from 1 species